rnacentral:rRNA from 1 species
AAAUUGAAGAGUUUGAUCAUGGCUCAGAUUGAACGCUGGCGGCAGGCCUAACACAUGCAAGUCGAACGGUAACAGGAAGCAGCUUGCUGCUUUGCUGACGAGUGGCGGACGGGUGAGUAAUGUCUGGGAAACUGCCUGAUGGAGGGGGAUAACUACUGGAAACGGUGGCUAAUACCGCAUAACGUCGCAAGACCAAAGAGGGGGACCUUCGGGCCUCUUGCCAUCAGAUGUGCCCAGAUGGGAUUAGCUGGUAGGUGGGGUAACGGCUCACCUAGGCGACGAUCCCUAGCUGGUCUGAGAGGAUGACCAGCCACACUGGAACUGAGACACGGUCCAGACUCCUACGGGAGGCA